rnacentral:rRNA from 1 species
GAUGAACGCUAGCGGCAGGCUUAACACAUGCAAGUCGAGGGGUAACAGGGGAAAGCUUGCUUUCUUGCUGACGACCGGCGCACGGGUGCGUAACGCGUAUGCAACCUACCUUCUACAGGGGGAUAGCCCAGAGAAAUUUGGAAUAAUACCCCAUACGAUCAAUGAUUGGCAUCGAUUAUUGAAGAAAACUCCGGUGGUAGAAGAUGGGCAUGCGUCCUAUUAGUUAGUUGGUGAGGUAACGGCUCACCAAGACGUCGAUAGGUAGGGGCCCUGAGAGGGGGAUCCCCCACACUGGUACUGAGACACGGACCAGACUCCUACGGGAGGCAGCAGUGAGGAAUAUUGGACAAUGGGGGCAACCCUGAUCCAGCCAUGCCGCGUGCAGGAAGACUGCCCUAUGGGUUGUAAACUGCUUUUAUACAGGAAGAAACCUACUUACGUGUAAGUAGCUGACGGUACUGUAAGAAUAAGGAUCGGCUAACUCCGUGCCAGCCGCCGCCGUAACAC